GGUGUACUUGCCGUUGGACAAGCGGGUCACCACCCACAUUUCCUUGUACGAGGCACCGACCCACAAUGAGGCUACACUGCCGUCCUCCUGGGGCGUCAGUUGCUUGCCGCUGAUGGGCGACACCAGCGUGACCAAUUGCCACAGGGGCUGCGCCGACGGCGUGGGUGUCGACGAUGGAGUGCGCGUCGGCGACGAUGACGGCGACGGUGCUGGCGUGUUGGAGGGCGUGGGACCCACUGGAUGAUUGUACUCGAUGAUGACGCCGCCGUCGGCGCCCGGCGCGUUCAGGGCGUUGGCGCCGAUGGGCGGGCACGAUCUGCCCGAGCCGCCACCCGAGCCGCUGUUGGCCGGCGGGGGCUGGCGUCCUUCUGCAGUGCGAUAGCCGUAUCCACCAUUGCCAUUGAAGCCGGCAGCGCCGCCCCACGUAAAGCAAUCCAUGUAGAUGCCGCUUACGGUGCCCUGACCGCCGGCCCAGUUGCGGCCGGGCGACGUCCACCCGGCGCCGUGGAUGAAGGGCUGGUCGGGGUCGCCCCCGACGUGGCCAAAGCCCGAGCCGGCUCCGCCUGCCUUGACGUCGCCCACGAGGGCGCCCUGCGACGGACCCGAGAGCGCAUCGUUGUCGGCGGCGCCAGGAGGAUUGCCUGUGCCGGGCGUUGUGCCGCCCGCCGACGAAGCAGCGCCGCCGCCGGCACCGCCGCGGCAAGUGUCCCACUCGUAAAAGGCCGCCCAUGCGCCGCCACCACCAUAGGCCGUGGCGCGAAACAACUCGGCGCCGCCGGGUCCCACGGCCACGAUCGAUGUCUGUCCGCCGUCGCCGCCAGAACCGCCAUCAUAAUUGUCGUCGCUGAGCGUCGUGCCGCCCUUGCCCACGGUGACGAUCCACUGGACGUCGCUCGGUGCGACGGCCCAUUGGCUGUCGCCCACCGUGCGGUUGAGGAUGGCCGAGCCGCUGCCGCCGCCGGCGCCGCAGCGAAAGGACGACGCGGACCCGCCACCGCCGCCCCAGAGCGAGGCCGAGAUGCCGGUGGCGCCCACCGGCGCGGUCCAGUUGGUCGAUGCACCCAGAAAGACCGUGUAGCGGUAGGCGUCGAUCGGUGCAGCGAUGCAGCACAAGAGGGCCGCGAGCGCCACGGUGGCCUUGAAAAUCACGAUCGUCAUUGUCGGCGGGCGCGAGGCGGUGUAUGGAGGACUGCACGGAUUUGGUUUGUUUGCCUGUGGGGCGUAAAGGCUAUUCUUGGCGUCGGGCGGUCUAUUUAUAGAGUGCGGUUGUCUUGCAGUGUGUGCGCCACGAGGCUUGAGCCAAAAAUACAAUAGAACAGCGGUUGCCUCUU
rnacentral:lncRNA from 1 species